CCCAAAAAAAAAUGUGGGGGGAUAUAUACCCUCAUCCUCCCGGGAUUUACUCCUAUGGCAUAACAUUCAUAUUCAUAACUUGUUUUAUGCAGUUAACCACGAGAAGNCACCAUUGUGGGUUGGAAGGCACACAGUAUCGAUGGUACUGCAGUCCUUGUUCCAUAGAGAGAAACAAUGCUACAUGGACCGAGCGGGGGAAUUGUAAAAAGAACCCAAUGUCUCUAAAUCCGAUCUGCAUACCUGAACCGGGCAUCACCACUCUACCGCCCUCCACCCAUGCGCCCGUUUCUCGCACCGUCUUCCCACCCUUGGACCGCUUGUGCAUCCCCGGUUCUGCAGGCACGUACUCCAACUGCAGCUGUCCAGAAGGCAAGAAACCCCCAAUAAUUCCAUCCGCUCUGCCAGACAUCGUUGCUCAGCAUUGUGACCAGUCUCGGGGUAUCCCCAGAGAACAGCAAAGACCUAAUUAGAAUACAGCAACCAGUCACUCAUUACUGUAUUUCAAAGACAAAUGGAUAUGGUCAGCUGUGAAUAGCAAAUGACAUCCUCAAUAGUUUGAAUAUUUUCUUAUUCGUUUUAGAUAACUUUCAAUCAAUACGCAAUUUCAUUAUUAUACCAGAUUUCUGUUAACAGUGAUGUUUUAUAUAUUUGUAAAAUGCACUUAAGAAAUAAAUUACCAAAGAGAAAUAUGAUACAAAUAUACUAAAUAAUAGAAAGCUACACAUUUACUGAAUAAUGUUACACGUGCCAUGAACAGUGAAAUGCGUUGUGGCAUCUCUCACACGCACGCGUUUGUGUGUACAGUCAUCCUACUGUAAGUCCCGGUGCUCAUCACUCUUCUACAGCGGAUGGUUACAACAGAGCUGAUUUUUUUUAUUCUUAUUUAUUAUUUGUUUUUUUUGCGGUGCCAAAUAUUUUGGACGUGUCCUCGAAAGUUGCGGUGGAACGUUCUGUACAUGUUGUUGGUAACAAUUCGUGAGAGUAGAACGCCCUGCGUCUGGGCUUAAAAGCCGGGAAGGACUUCCGCCAGCCCCCUCCCCAACCCAUUGCCCUUGCGGGUAUAGGAUGACCUGAUUUAACCGUGCUGCUUGACGUAUUUUUGUUUUCGAAUCCUCGUUGCAUAGAAGUGGUCUUACUUCUCAACAAUAACUUAGUGCGGUACGGUACGCUUCUGCUUGCGCCAUGAGACAGUGGGCACAGAAUGCACUGUGCUAAUGUUGUAAAGUUACCCACAAAGCCUCUACUUCCGUGACAAAAUUGUUGUAGGGGCAUUGCCCAUCCCAGUGCCUUUAAAGAGCGGUACGGUUGAGCCGAGCCAAGUUUCUGCAUUCAGUGUAGUUCACGUCACAUGCACCUGUCAUAGAGCGAUGUCUAUACAUAGAAUUUGCAAAAAGGCACGACAACGCAGAGCGGGGCAUUGCUUCAUGUUCGGAAACAAACGGAUGUGAGUCAGUAGGUAUAACAUCCCAGGAAAAUUUAAUACAACUGAAGAAUUGAAGUCAGGAUACAGGUCGUGUGGUCCCACAAAAAAUUGUCGUAACUCUUACUUGUGUCUAAAUACUUCGUGAGAUGGGCUGUGAGUAUUUUAUGUGGAGAUUUCAUUCAAAGACAGACUGUCUUCCGCUAAAGGUAGGGUAUUAUGUAAUUUUUGGAAAUAUUCGUGUCGAGAAUAGAGAUGCACUAGAUGGGUGUUUUCCUCUUUUUCAAAAUGGUUGAAAACUGCAUGAGUCAAAUUGAAGUGGGUACUGUGACAGACAACGAAUGGUACUAGAACAGUUGAUUCAGAAUUUCCGGAAUUCGGGAAGACGCUAUUAUGAUUGUGACGUGCAUCCACACUGAAGGCAGUUUGAUUGUCGCUUGUCACUCGAGUAGCAGAAAUAAGCUGUCCUUAGUGAGGUCCACUGGCGUAAAUUUGCACCGGGAAAUUUGCGGAGUGGGAGAAAAUUGCUUGGCUGUGGCAUUUAAAGACAAAAGAGACAAUGUGUAUCUUUAAUAUUUACCUGUAUUAAACCUCUGCUGAAUCUUACCUCAAAAUGGCGCAUAUGUGGCUUUAAAAAUUUUGUCUCCAUUUUUAGUGCUUUUUCAUAUAUUUUACUACAACUUUCCAAUUCGCCUUAAUUGUUUCUCACUGAGAAAGGGAGGGGGUUGAUCCAAUAGCCCCCCCAAAAAAGGGUGUUUGGGUGCAUACCCCCACCCCCGGGGGGAUUUAGCCCAUUUGUGAGGUCAUUCGGUACAAGAUCCCUGUCAAUGAGGUCUUAGAGUGUGGUCGUUAUUUAAAGCUACCAGAGAAAAGGAGAACCUAUGUGUGGUCAUAUACAGGAAAUUUUGUUCCAAGGUUUUUAAUAGGAAAAUAUAUGGAAUGUUGUAUUCAUAUGGAGAAGGAAUCCUCUUGCCAGUAUGGAUCCAAGGGGUGCAUGGCAAGUUUUCGGCUGGAGAAUUCAGGAUUAAUAACCCCCUGGCGCAUGUUACGCAUGGGCAUAAAUACCGGGGGUGGGGGAUAUAUUCCCCUCCCCCACACACCCACCCACACACACUUUUUGAGGUGCAGGUGAUGGGCUAAUGAAUCAUCCCCCUUUUUGUGAUAAGCAAAAAAAAAAAAAAAACCGGACUGUGAAGAAUUUGUAAGAUUACCCAAAGGCUACAAUGUUUGCAAUAUCACUAAAAAGGCAAAACAAUCUUAAAAGCCAUAAAUAUUCCAUUCUCAUGUAAGAUAAUAUUGUGCAUGAAUUUGAAAAACAUUACGGAUGUACAUUGUACAUCUUUAUCGUAAAAACGCCCCCUGUAUAGUGAAUAUAGUGUAGCGCCCUCCCCCUUCCGCUUUUCAAAUUUCCAUGGCCAGGCAAGUCACCUUUCCCCAUCCCCCACCCCACCCCCAACUUCCAGCACAGACUUUAAUACGCCACUGUUGUACAUGUAGUUGGUUCUCAUAGCGGACUCCAAAUACUCAUUCCAGUAAAUGUAAAUGAGUUCCUCAUAAAAACUACUCAAAAGGAGUCAAUUUCUACUCUUUCGAGGAGCCAUGUAGUAUGACAACUUGAAUUUUGUUUUUCGUUUUUAUGGCUCGUCUUUGGUAGUGGUUUUAUAAGGAGAGUGAGUUUUCCACUUUUACACUUAGCCUGUUAAAAUACCAAGUACUGUCCGAAGUUUUCGGGGCUGCGUUUCAGUAGGAAAUUUAGCUGUUGUAUUGCUCGGCAUGACAUGUAAAAGAACUUCCAACCAGCACAUUGCUUUUGCGAAGGUAAUUUUUUAGUUUGUCCAUUAAGGUAAUUCAUAGGACAAUAGAACAGUUUUUGUAAAUAAAUUAAGCAUUUAAUGUGCUAACUUUUGUCAUGUUUUGAGAGAGACCGAAGAUAACUGAUGAAGGAUUUAUACAGAUAUUAAAAGAAAAUUCAUUGCAAAUUU
rnacentral:lncRNA from 1 species